GAAGAGAAUAUCCCAUGGGGGGGAGGAGUGCAGGGGAAAGUAAAGGUUGGAUGUAGGUUUGUCAAUAGAAAACGUUCGUCAUAGAGUGGGUAUGACAGCUGAGGAAAGGAUGAUAAUGGUAGGUUCAUCUAAGUGGAAACAUUUGGUUUCAUUCUAAGACACUCAAUUCUUGAACGAUCUUGACAGCUCUUCUCCCCUUCAAGAAUAACACUCUCUUCUUGAAGGAAUUUGAUCGUUCUUCUCCCCUUCGUUUCUUGAAAGUUUGGUGUUGCCCAACAUCUCCACUGACAGUUCCGCAUUGCAUGAUAUACUCAU
rnacentral:lncRNA from 1 species